UACGUAGGGUGCGAGCGUUGUCCGGAAUUAUUGGGCGUAAAGAGCUCGUAGGCGGCCCGUCGCGUCGGUUGUGAAAGCCCGGGGCUUAACCCCGGGUCUGCAGUCGAUACGGGCAGGCUAGAGUUCGGUAGGGGAGAUCGGAAUUCCUGGUGUAGCGGUGAAAUGCGCAGAUAUCAGGAGGAACACCGGUGGCGAAGGCGGAUCUCUGGGCCGAUACUGACGCUGAGGAGCGAAAGCGUGGGGAGCGAACAGG
rnacentral:rRNA from 1 species